rnacentral:misc_RNA from 1 species
GAUGAAGAACGUAGCGAAAUGCGAUAAGUAGUGUGAAUUGCAGAAUUCAGUGAAUCAUCGAAUCUUUGAACGCACAUUGCGCCCUUUGGUAUUCCUUAGGGCAUGCCUGUUCGAGCGUCAUUUACAAAUUCAAGCUCAGCUUGGUGAUGGGUGUCUGUCCCGCCUUUGCGUGUGGACUCGCCUCAAAUGCAGUUGGCAGCUUGUUCCUCGGCUCUAAACGCAGCAGAUUUGCCUCGAGCGUCGUGCGGACGGGCUCUCCAGUAAGCAAACCCCCACAAAUUGACCUCGGAUCAGGUAGGGAUACCCGCUGAACUUAAGCAUAUCAAUAAGCGGAGGA